GGUUAAGCGACUAAGCGUACACGGUGGAUGCCCUGGCAGUCAGAGGCGAUGAAGGACGUGCUAAUCUGCGAAAAGCGCCGGCGAGGUGAUAUGAACCUUUGACCCGGCGAUGUCCGAAUGGGGAAACCCAGUGCAAUCCGUUGCACUAUCGUUAACUGAAUACAUAGGUUAACGAGGCGAACCGGGGGAACUGAAACAUCUAAGUACCCCGAGGAAAAGAAAUCAACCGAGAUUCCCCCAGUAGCGGCGAGCGAACGGGGAGCAGCCCGGAGUCUGAAUCAGCUUGUGUGUUAGUGGAACGGUCUGGAAAGUCCGACGGUACAGGGUGAUAGUCCCGUACACGAAAGCACACUUGCUGUGAACUCGAAGAGUAGGGCGGGACACGUGGUAUCCUGUCUGAAUAUGGGGGGACCAUCCUCCAAGGCUAAAUACUCCUGACUGACCGAUAGUGAACCAGUACCGUGAGGGAAAGGCGAAAAGAACCCCGGCGAGGGGAGUGAAAAAGAACCUGAAACCGUGUACGUACAAGCAGUGGGAGCCUCUUUAUGGGGUGACUGCGUACCUUUUGUAUAAUGGGUCAGCGACUUAUAUUCUGUAGCAAGGUUAACCGUAUAGGGGAGCCGAAGGGAAACCGAGUCUUAACUGGGCGUUAAGUUGCAGGGUAUAGACCCGAAACCCGGUGAUCUAGCCAUGGGCAGGUUGAAGGUUGGGUAACACUAACUGGAGGACCGAACCGACUAAUGUUGAAAAAUUAGCGGAUGACCUGUGGCUGGGGGUGAAAGGCCAAUCAAACCGGGAGAUAGCUGGUUCUCCCCGAAAGCUAUUUAGGUAGCGCCUCGUGAACUCAUCUUCGGGGGUAGAGCACUGUUUCGGCUAGGGGGCCAUCCCGGCUUACCAACCCGAUGCAAACUACGAAUACCGAAGAAUGUUAUCACGGGAGACACACGGCGGGUGCUAACGUCCGUCGUGAAGAGGGAAACAACCCAGACCGCCAGCUAAGGUCCCAAAGUCAUGGUUAAGUGGGAAACGAUGUGGGAAGGCACAGACAGCCAGGAUGUUGGCUUAGAAGCAGCCAUCAUUUAAAGAAAGCGUAAUAGCUCACUGGUCGAGUCGGCCUGCGCGGAAGAUGUAACGGGGCUAAACCAUGCACCGAAGCUGCGGCAGCGACACUAUGUGUUGUUGGGUAGGGGAGCGUUCUGUAAGCCGUUGAAGGUGUGCUGUGAGGCAUGCUGGAGGUAUCAGAAGUGCGAAUGCUGACAUAAGUAACGAUAAAGCGGGUGAAAAGCCCGCUCGCCGGAAGACCAAGGGUUCCUGUCCAACGUUAAUCGGGGCAGGGUGAGUCGACCCCUAAGGCGAGGCCGAAAGGCGUAGUCGAUGGGAAACAGGUUAAUAUUCCUGUACUUGGUGUUACUGCGAAGGGGGGACGGAGAAGGCUAUGUCAGCCGGGCGACGGUUGUCCCGGUUUAAGCAUGUAGGCGGAGGUUCCAGGUAAAUCCGGUACCUUUUAACGCUGAGGUGUGAUGACGAGGCACUACGGUGCUGAAGUGAUAAAUGCCCUGCUUCCAGGAAAAGCCUCUAAGCAUCAGGUAACACGAAAUCGUACCCCAAACCGACACAGGUGGUCAGGUAGAGAAUACCAAGGCGCUUGAGAGAACUCGGGUGAAGGAACUAGGCAAAAUGGUGCCGUAACUUCGGGAGAAGGCACGCUGAUGUGUAGGUGAAGCCCCUGCGGGUGGAGCUGAAAUCAGUCGAAGAUACCAGCUGGCUGCAACUGUUUAUUAAAAACACAGCACUGUGCAAACACGAAAGUGGACGUAUACGGUGUGACGCCUGCCCGGUGCCGGAAGGUUAAUUGAUGGGGUUAGCGGCAACGCGAAGCUCUUGAUCGAAGCCCCGGUAAACGGCGGCCGUAACUAUAACGGUCCUAAGGUAGCGAAAUUCCUUGUCGGGUAAGUUCCGACCUGCACGAAUGGCGUAAUGAUGGCCAGGCUGUCUCCACCCGAGACUCAGUGAAAUUGAACUCGCUGUGAAGAUGCAGUGUACCCGCGGCAAGACGGAAAGACCCCGUGAACCUUUACUAUAGCUUGACACUGAACACUGGUCCUUGAUGUGUAGGAUAGGUGGGAGGCUUUGAAGCGUGGACGCCAGUCUGCGUGGAGCCAACCUUGAAAUACCACCCUUUAAUGGCUGGUGUUCUAACGUAGACCCGUAAUCCGGGUUGCGGACAGUGUCUGGUGGGUAGUUUGACUGGGGCGGUCUCCUCCCAAAGAGUAACGGAGGAGCACGAAGGUUGGCUAAUCCUGGUCGGACAUCAGGAGGUUAGUGCAAUGGCAUAAGCCAGCUUGACUGCGAGCGUGACGGCGCGAGCAGGUGCGAAAGCAGGUCAUAGUGAUCCGGUGGUUCUGAAUGGAAGGGCCAUCGCUCAACGGAUAAAAGGUACUCCGGGGAUAACAGGCUGAUACCGCCCAAGAGUUCAUAUCGACGGCGGUGUUUGGCACCUCGAUGUCGGCUCAUCACAUCCUGGGGCUGAAGUAGGUCCCAAGGGUAUGGCUGUUCGCCAUUUAAAGUGGUACGCGAGCUGGGUUUAGAACGUCGUGAGACAGUUCGGUCCCUAUCUGCCGUGGGCGCUGGAGAAUUGAGGGGGGCUGCUCCUAGUACGAGAGGACCGGAGUGGACGCAUCACUGGUGUUCGGGUUGUCAUGCCAAUGGCAUUGCCCGGUAGCUAAAUGCGGAAGAGAUAAGUGCUGAAAGCAUCUAAGCACGAAACUUGCCCCGAGAUGAGUUCUCCCUGAGACUUUAAGUCUCCUGAAGGAACGUUGAAGACGACGACGUUGAUAGGUCGGGUGUGUAAGCGCAGCGAUGCGUUGAGCUAACCGAUACUAAUGAACCGUGAGGCUUAACCUU
rnacentral:rRNA from 1 species